AUUGAACGCUGGCGGCAUGCCUUACACAUGCAAGUCGAACGGCAGCACGGGAGCAAUCCUGGUGGCGAGUGGCGAACGGGUGAGUAAUAUAUCGGAACGUGCCCGGUCGUGGGGAUAACGUAGCGAAAGCUACGCUAAUACCGCAUACGAUCUACGGAUGAAAGCGGGGGAUCGCAAGACCUCGCGCGAUUGGAGCGGCCGAUAUCAGAUUAGGUAGUUGGUGAGGUAAAGGCUCACCAAGCCGACGAUCUGUAGCUGGUCUGAGAGGACGACCAGCCACACUGGGACUGAGACACGGCCCAGACUCCCUACGGGAGGCAGCAGUGGGGAAUUUGGACAAUGGGCGCAAGCCUGAUCCAGCAAUGCCGCGUGCAGGAUGAAGGCC
rnacentral:rRNA from 1 species